rnacentral:siRNA from 1 species
AGCAUUCCUUAUUUUGUUCCU